rnacentral:tRNA from 1 species
AAUAAGAUGCCUGACUAAAGGGCUAUUUUGAUAGAAUAGAUAAUGUAAUUUUUACUCUUAUUA